rnacentral:rRNA from 1 species
CCUACGGGUGGCAGCAGUGAGGAAUAUUGGUCAAUGGCCGGAAGGCUUAACCUUCCAUUCCUCUUUAAUUUCAUUUCUUUAUUUUCUUUAAACUUCUUUUGUUGGUUAUCAAUAAUGGUCACGUGUGGCCCGACGAGAGUCCCGUACGAAUAAGCAUCGGCGAACUCCGUGCCAGCAGCCGCGUUAAUGCGGGGGAUGCACGCGUUAUCCGGACUUAGUGGGUUGAAAGGUUCCGUAGGCUGUGAGGUAAGUCAGCGGUGAAAGGCCCCCGCUCAACGGGGUGAAGUGCCAUUGAUACUGCGUUGCUGGAAUGCGGAUGCCGUGGGAGGAAUGUGUGGUGUAGCAGUGAAAUGCAUAGAUAUCA